UACGGGGGGGGCAAGCGUUGUUCGGAAUUACUGGGCGUAAAGCGCGUGUAGGUGGUGGGACAAGUCUGCUGUGAAAGCGCCUGGCUUAACCGGGCGAGGUCGGCAGAAACUGUUCGACUCGAGGACGGUAGAGGGGGGUGGAAUUCCCGGUGUAGUGGUGAAAUGCGUAGAGAUCGGGAGGAACACCUGUGGCGAAGGCGGCCCCCUGGGCCGGCCCUGACACUGAGACGCGAAGGCGUGGGGAGCGAACGGG
rnacentral:rRNA from 1 species